UGAUAUUGGUGCAGGUGAGACAGCUCGGAUUCUGGUUGAAUUCCUGAAGGUGGCAAUCACUUCAAUCGUUUUCCUCAAAGGAAUUUACCCUCCAGGUGCUUUUGAAAGAAGGAAAUAUAUGAAUUUGGUGGUUCAUAGCGCUCGUCACCCUGAACUCAGAGAUUAUAUCCUUUCUGUUAGAAAAUUCGGCCUAGGCGGCCGCCUAGGCGCUAGGCGGGUCUGGGCGGCUGGGCUGGUUGGAUUUUGUUUUUUGUUUUUUGUUUUUUAUUUUUUUAAGAAAGAUGCAGUCUUUCUUAUUCGUUUAAUGUAUUUAUUCCGGUGAUGUACCAUUUUCACUAAAACAGACGUACAUUUUACAAACUGGGGUCCGGUGGAGAGAGUAGCAGUUAUUUUCUUUAACAGUGAUAACAUCCCUGUGGAAAGAUUUAUGUUUAAGCCUCUGAAUCAGUCUUAUGGCUCAAGGAUGGAAGAAGCUGACCUGGAGUUCUCACUAAGGUCGUUUUUUAUCAAGCUUCCUUUCUCAGAAUCCCUUACACGGGUUCUUCCCCAGGGUAAGUUUUAAGUUUCAUAGUUGACAACUUGACAUUGAUGUUCUUGUUUUUUUUUGCUUCAGUGUUGUAGUUUUGUCUUAGAAUACUUUUUGGUAUAAUUCUUUUUCAAUGCUGUAGUUCCGUUUGGUUUUCGCUUUAAAAUUGCUACUUUCUAUCAAAUGCUUUGGUUUAAUUGGUUGAGUAUUGACUUUAUGCUUGGGUGGUUCAUGGUUGUUGAGCUCAUGAAAUAUGGUUUGGAUUUUCAUGUCUGCUUUCCUUAAUUGCAGCUAGGUGUGUAAGCUUUUCCUUUAUAACAGUUUGCAGGUGGGAGAUAACCGCGUACUUUCGAUCCCUUCCUCAGACAAGCACAAGUAAGGAUGCAGAGUUGUGGAUUCCAACAGACACACAGCAGUGGCAACAGCCCCUCCAUUAAUGACCCCUAUUAAAUCAUGAUCACACUGUCCCAUAAACAUACUGCUCAAUAAGUAAAUUACGCUUGCUUUCUGCAUUUUGGUGUAUAAACCACAACAAUUCAGUGCUUAGUGUUGUAAAGUUGUUAUCCAAUUAGAAUGAGGUUACAGGUUACAAA